ACAUAGAAGGGGCUUCAGCCAAUGAUUUGGGACUUACCAUGGCAGAAACCCGCACCAUCCUCUACGGUGCACGGAGCAGCACCACAUGGGUUGGGUUCGCAUGGAUUAACACCCCCUAGAAGAACAGAACACAGGAUAACAAAUGCAGACAGAAAGAAACUACCAACUAACGGAAGAUGUUGUCCCACCUUCUGCUAAACCAGCGUCUUCAGCACCUCCUGGCAUCCGCACAGAGGGUGGUGUUGUGGCGGUCGGGGGAGCAGCCAGCCCAGCAGGAGCCACCACAGGGAAGAGGAGUAUUCAGACCCAAAGGUUCCCAAUCCAGACGCUCCUGAUCCAACCAUUCCCGAUCCAAACUUUCCUGAUCCAGACGCUCCCAAUCCAGAAGCUCCUGAUCCAAGCAUUCCAGAUGCAAAUGUUCCUGAUCCAGACGUUCCCAAUUCAAAUGUUCCUGAUCCAGAAGCUCCUGAUCCAGAUACAAUGA
rnacentral:lncRNA from 1 species